CAAAAACAUAGCUUAUUGACUUUUUAUAAUAAGUUUUUUCUGCCCGGUGGUGUUUUUUAACGGCCGCGGUAUUUUGACCGUGCAAAGGUAGCAUAAUCAUUUGUCCUUUAAUUGGGGGCUAGAAUGAAAGAAAGUUUGAAGCUUUUUCUGUCUCUUUUUUAUUUUUGUAAUUUGCUGUUCUUGUGAAGAAGCAAGAGUUGUUAAAAAAGACAAGAAGACCCUAUUAAGCUUUAUUUUUUUGUUUUUAUUCGUUUGAAUAUAAAAACAAAAAGAUUUGGUUGGGGUGACUAAAGAAGAAAAAUUUAUCUUCUUUUUUUAAAAAUAACUAUUUGUUUAACAGAGACCCAAAAUUUUUUGGUUGUAAGAAUUAGUUACUAUAGGGAUAACAGCGUUAUCUUUUCAUAAAGUUCUUAUUGAAGAAAAGGAUUGCGACCUCGAUGUUGACUUACUUUAUCCUAUAAAGGUGUAGCAGCUGUGAGGGUUGGUCUGUUCGACCAUUAAAAAAGU
rnacentral:rRNA from 1 species